rnacentral:lncRNA from 10 species
GCCAGUGGUGUUUCAGAAUUCCAGUUUGUCACAGUGCAGAGAGACAGGUGGGAGCUGUGCUUGUGGCUCCUGUGCCAGACACCCCGAGCAGCUCUGGGCAACACCCUGGAGUCGAGCAUAUUGAUUCUGCUGCCAUGAGCGUGUGAACAUUCACAGCACGAGGGAAGCCAUCCGUAAUUAGCUCCUCUCCGCUCAGGUUAGACUUUUGCAGUUAAAUGAAUUACAGAAAUCUCUUUGGGUUUGGGAACUUUGUGGGUAUUUCGGGCUUGUGGGUAAUGAACUGUCGAUGUUGUAUUUUUUCACAGCUCAACCAACAUAUUCAGGUUUUGUCUUCUCAGGGCCUGUCAUUCAUUCUGGUUCUCUGAUCAGAUUUCCUCAGACUGUGGGUGCCUGCAGCCAGCCCGGAAGCCCUUUAAAAUGCCCUUCGUGGCCAUCCUGGCCUCAUUCCCAGAUCCACUCCUGUCCAGCUGGGUGCCUGGCUGGUCCCCGGUCACAGUCUGCAAUUCCCACUCCCCUGCCUCAGCUUCACAGGGUCUGUGGCUGAUCCGAGUCAGGCCCUGGGCACUGCUGGCCUCAUCACAUUGGCCUCCGGACCCCUUCUGGAAGAGACUUAUCCCUUUGUUCCACCCCGGGCUGUGGGGACAAGAUUUUGCGAGAGCUGAGGGCCCAGUGAGAAUGGUCUUGAGUCCUUAGGGCCUGGGAGCCCUAGGUGGAAGUGGGAAGGAGGAGGAGGAGAGUGGGGAGGAGAUGUGAGGACUAAGCGCACCCAGGGCCAGUUUAAGAGGUCAGGGUCGAGGACAUUAGAGGCCUGUCUCCCCCAGGCGCAUAAAGCUGUGAGUUUUCCUUCUUCAGUUCCUUAGGCAGAACCCCUAAAGCAGAUUCUGGGGUGAUGGAACUCUGGGUAUGAGUUCUUGUUAGCCAGGCAUAGUUAGGAGCUUGGGCCUGCAUCUGGACGAGAGAGACUCAGCUGUGCCCAUUGAGAGCUUGUGCUGCCUGCAAAGUGACCUGCCUGAGGCUCAUUGCCUGGUCCCUGUGAAUAUUAAGUGGCUUCAACACAAAGAAGGGACUUCCAGGGGAGGCUGCCCGGGAUUGCCAGUGCAGUGGGGCUCCGCUGAUGCUCAGGAUCACCAGCGUGCAGCGGGGACUCCACUGAUGCCUGGGAUUGAUUGCCAGCAUGCAGCGGGGACUCCACUGAUGCCUGGGAUUGAUUGCCAGCAUGCAGCGGGGGCUCCGCUGAUGCCCGGUAUCCACCAGCGUGCAGCGGGGGCUCUGCUGAUGCCUGGGCUUGCAUGCCGCUGCCGCUGCCUACUGGUGCGUGGCGGUAGCCGCCUGUGCCCAGCUGGUGUGCUUGUCCAAGGUGAUGACGGUACUUUUUAUUGCACAGAGUUGCUGGAGAGUUGAAUGACCUGGGUCAUGUCAGCACAGUUUCUCAGUCCCUGCACUGUUGACAUUCUGGGCAGGAUAAUUUUUCACCCUGGGGAGCUGUCCUGUACCUUGCUGGAUACUUAGCAGGGCCUGCCCAGUAGAUCCCGGUAGCAGGAUCCCCCUCCAGCUCUGUAUGUUCUUCAGAUGAUUUGGGGAUAUCACUGGUAUUUUAAUAAGUUCUAGAAUUUCCCCCAUUGACAUUGCCAGGAUGUCAAGCCAGGAUGUCUCAGCCAUUGCCAACUGUCCCGGGGGUAAGUGGGGCGGGAUGGCCUAACUCAUGGUAAACACUCAACAGCUGCUUACUGUUACUAAUGAUACUGUGUUAUUAGCAGCAAAGUCAGCGAAGUCACUUCUGUAUAUUUGGGAAGAAAAGCUAGAAACCCCAACGACUUGGUCUGGCAGGGUGUGCAGGUGGGCACGGAGGAUUCGGACAG